UCACUCUUUGUGGACGUUUCAAGUAUUCAUUGUAGUUCAUUUGCACUCAAAGUUCAAUUCAUUAUAUAUUUACAUUACACUCUACAACAAAAACACACUGCAUUGCAUCAUGGUGAGAGUGAGAGGCGGAUCUGUUGGGGCUGGAUGCAUAUUCAGGCUUAGAGAUGAAGAUGUUGAGGUUGUCGAACCCUUUACCAAAUCACCUAAAAAAGGAAUUGGAACUCGUGGUGGAAAGACGAAGCAGUCUGCAAAGAAGAAACAGAAUGUGCAAACUGGUGAGCCAUCUGUUGAGCAGAUGGAGGAGCAUCAAACUGAAGAGCAAAAUGCUGGGGAACAGCAAACUGCUGAACCUUCUACUAGGAAGUCAUCAAGGACAAGGUCUGGUGUGCAGUACACUGUGCCAACCGCUCAACGCAGUGGAAAGAGAAAGCGUCCUGCCAAAGAGCAAUCUGAGGCUCAAACUGCAGAGGAACCUACCCCCUUACCCAAGUUCAUUGAUGAUGAUGCUAGGGAGAGGUUCAAAUGGAUCUCGCAGAAAGGCUUCAUCACUCAGAGGACUAUCAUCCCCUACGAAUUUCGUAAACUUGACCUUGAACCAGUUUUUAAGUUUUUUGAAUUCCAAAAGUGGACUCACCUUUUGACCAUUCCAAACACAUACUAUCCUGACAUGUUUCAUCAAUUCUUUGCCAACCUUAGGAAGGGUCGAUAGCACACUGAUCUAAUCUCACGUGUCAAUUCUGUUGAUAUAGAGUUAAAUCUUGACAUUGUCAACACUGUUCUGGAAACCAAAAUUGAAGAUGGUUUUAAGGAAAAAAUUGCAAACUUCUUUUCAUAUGAAGAAUUUUCUUCUGCCUAUUAUCAUUUUCAUGUUGCUAAGUUGGUGACUUAUUUUCAAACUCAUUUUAAUACUCCUGCUGAGGCAAGACUGGAGGAUCUCAGUUCUCAAAAUCUGAUAAUCUUUUUCAUAAUUUCAAAUCUGUUGGUCCCCACUAAUGGUCAUAGGACUGAUGCCAACAAAAUGGAGAUUUACCUGUUUUAUUGCUUUCUUGAAAAAAUCAGAAUUGAUUUUGGUUUUGUUAUGUGUAAAUUCUUGCUCAAAAUUAGCACUGAUAGUCGUAGGAAACAUUCCUAUGAAAAAUUUCUGACUCCUAUCUUUGCUCAUCUUGAAAUUCCCUUCACUGAAAAAUCACCAAAAGAAAGUACAUCAACUGUUUUAGUGGUGGUGAUGUGAUAUAUUAGCAAGUAUAUGGUAACAUCAUUUUAUCAUGUGGUGAGAGUAACCCUUUGCACCUCAUGUCGGAGUGGUAAGUAGUCAUAUACCAUUCUAUAAGAGAGGGUUAAGUCUUGAAAUUUCUGAAUUUGAUUACAUUGUUAGGAGGAUGAGACACUUGUGCUCGCAUGUUGGACUACCACGUGUGUGAAGCUGUAAUUGUAUCGCUGAGUUUUGAGAUACUUAAGGACAAACAUUGUCUUGAUGUAGGGGGAUUUGAUAGUGAGACAAUUGUGCAUUUUAUUUGAUGGUAUUUGCUCUUAAUUUUGGCCACUUAUUAUGCAAAGUAACGGGUUUCUGCUCAUAAUUGGUAUUUGUAUCAGUUGCAGGCGAUUGGUAUCAAAAGUGGUGAAAAGAGGCGAAUUUCUAGAAGACUAUUCAUUCCAGAGUGUGCCCACGCCAGAGACCGCAGAGUGACGUCCAAAAUGACGGACCGCGGGGCUUAUCCCUGGACGCUUGCCACUAUUCUUGGGAGGUGUUUUAAAGUUGCGUUGGAUUAGGAGACAUUUUUAGAAGAUAUUUUGGCAACAAAUCAAGGAGAAAAAUAAGGGAAGAUAUCCUUUAUAGAUAAAGAUACGUGAUUGGCAAAACAAGUGAGGACGGCGGACAACUUUAAGUAGGGUAGCAAGAGACUAGCAGUUAUCCAUCUUUUAUUCCCUUCUAAACGUAAGUUAGAGAUUAGCGGUUGUAUUCUUUACUUUUUCAUCAAGUAAAGUACAUUAAAGCCUAGGAUUGCAUCAUCAUUAUGAGGCAAGGUUAGGUUCCUUUAUCUAGUUGAGGAAUAAUCAAGACCCGGUGCAGGGACAAUUGUGAGAUCUUUUUAAUUGUUCUGCGCUAUUUUAAAUUCUACGUUAGUGCGUAUUUAAUUAUUCUUUGUUUUAAUGGGCUAUUAUUGUUUGGAUUUAUUGGAUUAA
rnacentral:lncRNA from 1 species